GUAGAGCUAUAAUAAAUUGCAUGUAAAAAAAAAGGCUUAGGUUCUGAUGCAAGGAGCAGUACUUGGGUUUCGGUAUAGGACACUAGUCCAAGGUUCAGGUAGGCCCAUUGGGAUCAGAUGGAUAGGAUGGGUCGAUAAUGGAGAGGGCAAAGUAGGUUUCGAGUGGGAGGAGAGAAUCUAGAAGGCGACUCUAGGAGAUGUCAAAGGUGCACG
rnacentral:lncRNA from 1 species